AACGAACGCUGGCGGCAGGCCUAAAACAUGCAAGUCGAGCGAGGACUUCGGUCCUAGCGGCGGACGGGUGAGUAACGCGUGGGGACGUGCCCUUUGCUUCGGAAUAGCCCUGGGAAACUGGGAGCAAUACCGGAGGAGCCCUAGGGGGGAAAGAUUUAUCGGCGAAGGUUCGGCCCGCGUUGGAUUAGGAAGUUGGGGGGGUAAUGGCCGACCAAGCCGACGAUACAUAGAUGGUUUGAGAGGCUGAUCAGCAACACUGGGACUGAGACACGGCCCAGACUCCUACGCGAGGCGGCAGUGCGGAAUCGUAGACAAUGGUGGGAGCCCUGAUCUAGCCAUUCCGCGUAACCGAUCAACGCCUUAGGGUUGUAAAGCUCUUGCAGCUGUGAACAUAUUGACGUUACCCUCAUAAGAAGCCCCGGCUAACUCCGUG
rnacentral:rRNA from 1 species